ACCAGGUCCAACACCACGUCCACCACCAUAUUCACCACCACAUCCAGCACCAUGUCCAGCACCAUAUCCACCACCAGGUCCAAUACCAUAUCCACCACCAUGUCCACCACCACAUACACCACCAGGUCCAACACCACAUCCAACACCACAUCAAAGACCACAUACACCACCACAUCCAACACCAGGUCCAACACCACAUCCAACACUUCAUACACACCAGGUCCAAUACCACAUACACCACCAAGUCCAACACUACAUACACCACCAGUUCCAACACGACAUACACUACCACAUAUAACACCACAUACACCAACACAUCCAACACCUCAUACACCACCAG
ensembl:lncRNA